rnacentral:misc_RNA from 1 species
CAAAAUACCGGCCUCACGGCCUACGCUGGAUAUGCGCCGGCGUGGGGGGGGGACCUCCCCCCCCCCGCCGGCCAUUGACGGUUAACCCACUGUGAAAAACCUCUGUUGCUUCGGCAGCGCCUUCCCGUCCGCGGGGAGGGUCAGCCUGCCGGCGGCACCCUCGCAAAACCCUUUGUGAAUUUGGUAAAACAAACGUCUGAGAGCGCAGUCGAAUGACAUAUA